UUUUUCCUUUCGCAUCUGCGUACAGAUGGGCUGCAUCUGUGUUCACACAGCAGAAAAUGGUACUAUAUCGUUCCCUUUAAGAGUGUGGGUUUUCUCUACUUAAUCUCGGACUCUUCAUGGAGACACAGCUGGCAAGAUGCCACGAGACCUCGCAUUUGGUGAGGAGACCGAGGCAAGAGAGGUUAAGUAACUUGCCUAAAGUCACAAAGCUGGAAUCAUUAACCAAUGGCAACAGGAAUCCAAGGAUAAAGUGAUUUCCCUCCUGUUAACUCAUCUGCCUUUGCUGAAGCCAGGAAACCUUGACGCAAAAGUAGAAUAUAUGAAACUACUGCCCAAAAUCCUGGCUCACUCUAUUGAACACAACCAGCACAUUGAGGAGAGCAGGCAGCUGCUGUCCUAUGCUUUGAUACAUCCAGCCACUUCGUUAGAAGACCGUAGUGCUUUAGCCAUGUGGCUGAAUCACUUGGAGGACCGCACAUCGACCAGCUUUGGUGGCCAGAACCGAGGCCGCUCAGACUCUGUGGAUUAUGGACAGACACACUACUAU
rnacentral:sRNA from 1 species